rnacentral:lncRNA from 1 species
UCCAUUAAUCACAACCCUUUUAGAUUUAACAAUUAACUCAAUUACCCACUAAUGUUGAUCAAGCAACAGCAAGCUUAAACAUGAAAAUCACUUGAAUGAAUAAACAUCAAAUUGCAUCAAACAUCCCUAGCAAAGUACCAAUAAUCUCAUAUUAGGGUUCCAUAAUCAUUCUAGCAUAUAAACUUUUAGCUCAUAAUCAUCAAACUAAAAAAAACUUCAAAAAAAUUUAUCCAUGAUUUCAAACAAUAGAAAAAACAAAAUAAUAGGUAAAGACAAAGGCGAAGAGAUGUGAGUCGAAUGUCGGUGGUUCUCCACAAGUUGUUUGCGUCUUGUUCUUCCUCCUCUUAUCUGCUUCUUUUCCGACGCUCUUACCCUGAAAGUUUUUGUUCUGUUUGUUCAAUCUCAGCGGCUGCCCUCCUAUUUUUUGAGAAAUAUGAUAUUUAUAUCCUCCCUUAAAGAAGAUAGACUAGAUCAAACCCCUUUCGUAUUCUAUUUUUUUCCUAUUAGAAAUGUUUUGGGCCUUUACAUGUUUGUCUAGCCUAUUCUUUCUGGUUCCCGGAUACUAUCAGCACUUGAUUAAAAGAUGGGGUAAGCUCAAAAGCUGAUGUGGAGCUCUUUAAGUAUGAAGUUUCCAAUUUGUUCCUGUCAGGUUUAAGGCUAUGGCAUUGCUGCAGCAUUGAGGCUUCAAUUGGUGAAAUUUAGCAUAUUCUUUUCUCCAUAUUUCUAAUGUUCUACUAGUCACCUUCAAGGAUAAAAAUUCACAUUUUCAGUGUCCAAAUUGGCAGGAAUACAUUAUUAAAAUAAAGCUUCAAAGAUUAACUACUUACCAUAAACAUAAUUAAAAUAACUACUAAAACACUCUCAAUCACUCUUAACUUGAAUGAAAUAAAAGCUUAAAAGUAAUAAAAUAACUCUAGUAAUUAAAAUAACUACUAAAACACUCUCAAUCACUCUGAACUUGAAUGAAAUAAAAGCUUAAAAGUAAUAAAAUAACUCUAUAUCCUAGAGUUAUCAAAUAUAAUUAAAAAUAAAAAUUACUACACCUUUUUGUUUUUUUUCUCACACGUUGCCCUAGAUCAUAUAUGAAAUCAUCCUUAUGAACUUUCAUUUUAUAAUCCUUCCCCAACUAAAAAAUUAUGCAUCAGUAGAGGUGUUCAUAGGCCAAGCCAAGCUUAGGCCCGAUUCAAACAAAAAUUUUAGUCCCAAGCCUAACUAGACAUGGCCUACCGAAAUGAUUCAUUUCACUGUUUUAAAAAUAAUAAAAAACAUUUUUAUUUAAAUUUAAUUAUAAAAAUAUAAAUUUAUUUUUAAUUUUUUUGAAUAGUAAAUCGGAUCGACCCAUGAAUAUCUCUACCUAUCACUCACCUCUAGCCAUCGAGCACUAAACUCAUCGUCACUCAAACCUCUCACUAGGCACCCUCACAAGUUCAAUCAUUGUCACACUUUAGUUUCCCCAUUUAUGCACUGAAGGCAGGCUUUUACUUCCCUAUCCAUCCAUUUGUGGGUGAAGUCUUCAACUACUAUGGUGUUGCAGCGAGGAACUCGUUGGAGAUUCAUGGUGGAUUAUCAUAGGGUUCCUCAUCCAUUGUACCAAACGAAAGGAGUAGCCCUAGCUAAGGGUUUUUUAGAACCUAUUUCAACUGUUGCAAGUAAAUCAAACUACUUAUCCGAGGUUGUUUUAUUUUGCCAAGCGUUAAGAGAACCCUUCGGUGGAAAACUUGAUGUAUGGGAAGGUUAGCAACAUGAGAUUGGAUCACCACAAGUACAUACUUGUGGAAUCAAAGUUUAAGGGUUUUGACUUUCCCAUUGAAUGGACUGUACCUCCCACUAAAUUGUACAAUUCCAAGCCUUUCUUUGGAGGUUACAAGGUUACCAAAAAGCAAUUCAAUAAUCUCUAGAAGGUGUUUAAGUCUUGUUUAUUCAAUGAGGGUGAGAACAGUUUUUGCAGUGUUGAUUUUGAGCUAAGGUUUGUUGAUGAUGGGUCCUAGAAUCCUCGUAACGAAUCGUGGCCCUUUGAUGUUGAUCACACUGUGGCCCAUAUCCUUCAAGGGCUAGCUAUAAAGCCUUGACAAUAUAUAAUGAUCUAUGGGAAGUGCUCAGACCAAAAGUGGUGGAUUUCAGAUGAUAUACCUUAGAUAUUUCCCCUUAUUUUCUUCAAGGGGAGGGGGAGAACAAUUGGAGUAGGGAUUAACACAAGUGUUGUUGCUGAUGCAGGGACCAUUCAACCAUUCUUUUCAUGCAAUCAAUCUCGACCUUUAAAUGGGGAAAUAUCUUCUGCAAACUUUGCUAUAAUUGAGAUUUCCCUAGACGAAAAGGAGAAGGGCCUCUUAUGUUAGAAAAAUCAAUUUAGAAAACAAUUAUCAUAGGUACAGUAGAAGUUUUAAAAAUUUUCUAAAACCAAAAUCUUUUGUGAAAUUUAAAGUGUAACCCUAACCAGAAUUAUAAAUGUGCUUUGUACGAGGUGGACUUAAGUUGAUCCUAGUUUUUAAUCGAACGGCCUUCUCUACUAUCCUCGUACCAUGAAUUGCGUCGAGUGUGGGCUCGAGCAACACAAACCAAAAACUCAAAAAAGAAACAGUUUACUUACUUUUAGUAGGUGAUCGCAUGCCAAUGUACGAACACUAAACAAAAAAUUAGCAAGAAAGAUAGAGAAUCAAAAGUGGCUUUGACUACAAGUGUGAUAGGAUAGUUAUAAUAUUAAUAUGUGUUACAAUAGAAUACACAAAGUAUUCUAAUGAUCGAACCCAAGAGAUUGUCAAUUGUACAUUUGUUUGUCAAAUUAAUUACAAGCUAAGCAAUUACUAGUCUAUUUGAAUCAAAAAUUAGUAGCGCAAACUAAAUAUGAAAAUAUAUUAAAGCUAAAUUCUAAAUUAACAAAUAAAAAUGCCAAACUAACUUUCUUCGUUCUUACUAAAAACAAUGUGAUUGAAAUGAUGAUCAAAUGAUUUGUUAAUUACUAACUAAGCUAAUAAACCUAUGUUGAUUAUAUUAUUUGCCAAUUGUCAUUAGGAAUCUCCUCUCAGUCUCAUCCUAAACUAAAAGAUACCACCUAAGCUCCCCUCUCGGUCUCACUUAGGCAUAUAAAUCUCCUAUCGGUCUCACUACUCAAUACAAAUGUAUCAAAGUCCUACACAAUAAAGUCUCCUACCAGACUCAUCUAUCUAAAUCUUUCACUAGAGGCAUCAGUUCUAGUGUAAUAUAUGAUUCAAUACAAUUGAACAAAAAAAUAAUCAAAUCAUGGAUAAUUACUUAGUUAAGUAACUCACUCAUCAAUCAACCAAUAAAAUGAUUCAGCAAAUAAUCAAAUUUAAAUCUCACGCAAGAAUUUUAACAAACACAUGGUAGGCAUAAAAUAUAAAAGAGAAGAAUUUGAGAAAAUGCUCAUUAAUAUAUUAACAUUUGAUGAAACCCACAAGCUUGAUCAUCUCCAUUAAAAGAGUUCUCGUCAAAAUAGAAGAAAAUCUACAGCCAAAAUCUAUUUUAAAGAAAAUAAAAGAAAUCUAAUCUAAUCUAAUCUAAUCUAAAAAUAUGAAAAGUAAAAAAAUGUUUAACCUUAAAAUUCUACGCCUAAAUACUUAUAAAGUAGUAUUUAUAGUCUUUUCUAACUUAACCUAACAAUGACAAUUAUGCCCUCACUUAAAAUUUAACUUCUUGUUAGACUGCAAAACAUCCUUCAUAAAUUUUGCCUCGUCAGAGUCAUUGUCGCGACACCCACAUUGUAAUGACUCGAUUCUCGCAAGUGUUAGAAAAGUAAGUUUCAAACUGAAAACUUUGAACCGAAAAAUUUAUGAGUCAAAUAUGAGAUUAAAAAAUUAAAUUAAUUAAUAAUUAAAUCAAUUAAAUUAGUAUAAAUGGUAAAAUGAUUAAAUUGCAUAGUGAUUAAAAAUGAAUAGAAAAUUGAUUAUAAAUUUUAUAAGCCCUUAAUAAGUUAAUAACCAAGUCCAUGGAAAUAAAUAUUCUAUAAUUAAUAUUAUGGUAGUGGAAUAUCAUGGCCUUCUCCGCUAUUAUUCAUUAAUCAACAUUAAAAGGCAUGUUCAGUGACAAAUUAGUGACAAGUUAGUGAUUUAUUAACUUAAUUGAACCACUAAUCAUAUAUAUAACCUUUAGUGGGGAAAAAAACAUUAUUUUCAUUCUCUUUCUCUUCAAACCGUAGGAAAAUAAAGAAGAAAAAGUAAAUUUAAUCAUUCAAGCUUAGUAUUCAUGCCUAUGCGUUAGAUUUCUUAACUGUUUGAGUUUUAAUUAAGGUACCAUUAAUGAAAAUUUUAUGAAAUUAAGCUUGGUAAAGGUAGAUUUAAGAAUAAAGAGUUAGAUUAUGUUAGUACUAAAAUAGAAAGUAUAUAAAAGUGUUGAAUUUUAUUAGAAAUCCAAGUAAACCAUAUAGUAAUUUUAUGGUAUUGGGGACCCAAUUGAUUAAAUUGAAUUUUCUUAAAAAAUAUAUGUUAUAGAUUGAAAGCUAGAGGCCUUCAGUGAAGACAUACGAAAUCAGAAUUCAAUUAGAUAAAGAGAACUGCAAACAAUGAGUGUUUCGAAUUUUAGGAUUUUAAAGGAUUAAAUUGAAUUAAAUUAAUUUCUGUUUGAUUUUGUUAAAUUUACGUUGAAUUGUGUGAUUAACAGCGCUUCUAUAAUUGUAUUAUCGAACAUAGGUAAAGACAACGCUGGAACGUCAAAAGUGAAAGAAGAGGAAAAGACGAAUGUUAUAUAGUUUCUGCGGUUUGUGCUUCUAUAAUUCAAUUUCGAUUUGCUUUCGUAGAUUGGUUACUCAUUAUAUUCAAUAUGACUAUGAAUUGAGGUAACUACUCUAUUUUAUCUGAUUAAUACUACGAAUUGAGAUAUAAAUUAGCUUAAUUCACCUCACUUUAUGGAUUAUCGUACUAUGCCACUUAGCCACUAGCUAGCUAAACUUCCUAAGUGUGUGUUUAAUCGUUGCCAAUUCAGCAUAACACUUAAUCUCCUUUGGGCUGGAUACUUGAAAUGCUCCAAGUAUUCCGUUAUACACUUACAAAUAUUACAAUUGAACCUGUCACACUUGCAGUCAUAGCCACUUUUAAAUCUUUAUAUUUUAUGUUAAUUCUCUACUUAGUGUUCGUACUCUGACGUGAAGUCAUGUAACAUCCUUACCUGACCCUAACCCUAGAGAUGAUCAUGGGUUGGGCUACUCGGUCUGGCCCGACAGCCUGCCCAAAAAAUGGGAGGGUUCGGGUAAAAAUAUAAGUCCGAAAUGUGGGUUUGGGCAAAAAAAAAAAGGCCCGUUUAGAAAAUAGGCCGGGCCUCGGAUAAAACUAUUUUAGCUUCGGCCUAGCUCGACCCAAAUUAUAUAUUAAAUAUAUAUUUUUUAUUUUUAAUCAAAUAUACUUUUUAAUCAAAUAUAUAUAUUAAAUAUAUACUUUUUUGGAAAUGGAAGCACCCACCUGAUCAAUUCGUGAAAAUAAACUUUGAUGCGGCAUAUGAUGGAAAUCUAAACCAACCGGCUGUGGGGAUUGUGGCGAGGGAUAGUGAAGGAAAUGUUCUCCUAUCGUUCACAGAGGUUCACAAACAGGUUGCUUCAGCUUUUGCCGUCGAAGCAAUCGCUUGCCGGUCAGCAACACAGAUUGGUAGUGACAUGUAAUGGGAAAAGAUCAUCAUUGAAGGAGAUGCAUUAUCGAUUAUUAAAAAGUGUAAGAUGAAGAGCCAUGACAGAUCGAUGAUUGGAGCAUUUAUCUAUGAUAUUCAUCAGAUAAUGACCAAAUCUAGUAAUAUUUCAUUCGAAUACAUCCCAAUAGAAGGGAAUAGUCUGGCACAUUCACUCGCAGAGGAGACAUUAAAGAGGAAAGAUGAGAUUUACCUGAUAGGUGGAGUCCCUGAGUAUGCAGAACAUCUGAAGGAUAGAGAUAAAGAGGACGGAAUGGAUUGAAGAGGAAACAAAGAAAUGAAUAGGCUAUAAUUGUAUAAUCAAAAGGGUUUGGGGAAAAGCCUCCAUUGGUAUCCGGGAAAUCCCAGUAAAGAAAUGGAAGAUGAUGAGACAGGAUGAGAACGGAUUGGCUUUUGAUUGGGCAAAAUAGCGGUGGAAUUAAUUAGUUGUCUAGGGUCUUCUUUUAUCUGUUAUAGUUUUUGAUUUUUCC